AUGCCGCCGCGGAUGACCUCGGCGGCGGGUGGCGUCGCGCCGGCGCCGGCCCGACCCGCCGCCCCCUCCUCCUCAAAGCUCCCCAAUGCGGCGCCGCCAAAGAAGGAUAAGACAUCGGUGAAGAAAAACAAGGCGGCGGACGGCUCCGGCACCUCCAAGGCGAGGAGGAAGAAGCUUGCGGGGUGUGCGACGGGCGCGGCGGCUGCCGAAGCGCCGGCGAGCUCACUCGUUGAGCCGGCCGCCGGCGCGCACAACAUGUUCGACGAAAUGCCUCCAAGUCUCAAUGAUGAUGCAUACAUGUCAACGAUGGGUGUUGGCUCCAACAAUUCGCAUUGGUCUCAAACCAAUGACAUGCAUUUCGAAAACCAUGAGUUUGAGGUGGACAAGGAGGGUGAGGGCAUUGUCGACGCACCGGAAGGAAGAGCGGGCAAUUACAGCAACGCCGAUGACAUCUUACUAUGCAAUACUUGGUUGCAAGUGUCGAGGGAUCCAUCCGUUGGAGGUGAUCAAAGUAGAGAUGCUUAUUGGCUUCGGAUGAAGGAACACUUUGAUGUUCGCAACGUGAGUGGAAUUGACCGCUCCGGCCGAUCACUUAGGUCCUGGUGGUCGACAAUCAAUUCGGAUUGUCAAAGGUGGGCGGCUUGUCAAAAGGCGGUUGACAAGUUGAACCCAAGUGGCACAAAUGAGGACGAUAGAGCCACUACGGCGACGGGGGUCGCGCAGCCCGACUGGUCCCUGGCGCCGGCUGGGGCGGAGGAGGGCACCGGCCAGGGCAAGGGAAAGGGGCAGAGUCGGGACGGCGGACGGCGCGAGCACGGCGUGGAUGGCGACUGCGGGGCCGGUGAUGAGCGCGAGCGCGCGCGAAGGAGGAGCAGGGGCGCGUCGACGGGACGGCGCGGAAGCUCACCGCGGGAGCACAAAACCGAAAAGAAGAAGAGGAAAGGAGAUGAUGAGCUCAAAAAUGCUAUGGAAGCAAUUGUGAAGGCAAGAAAAGAAGCCAACGAGGUGAGAAAAAUGGCAAGGAAACAAGAUGCCGCGGCCAAGGAGAGGAGGUUGGCGGCCGAGGAGAGGAGGGUGGCAGCCGAGGAGAGAAAGGUGGCUUUGGAGGAGAGGAAGGUGAGCAAUGAGGAGCGUACUAGAUUGUUGGAAUGGGAGAAGCACUUGUUCUUCUUGGACACAUCUAACCUCAAUGUGACGCAAAAGGAGUAUGUCAAUCUAGCCCGUGAAGAAGUCUUGAUCCAAAAAAGAGCCAUGGUUCGUGCAAUGGGUGGCGGUGGCAUCGGCGCCAUGGGUGGCGGUGGCCUCGGCGCCAUGGGUGGCGGUGGCCUCGGCGCCAUGGGUGGCAGUGGCUUCGGCGUCAUGGGUGGCUUGGGUGGCUUUGGAGCACCCCCCGACGCUAUAGCCACCAUGGGAGGCGUGAGUUUUGCUUCUCUCAUGGGAGGCAUGGGUGCACCUCCGGCCGCCAUGGGCGGAAUGUCUUUCGAUGUGCCUCCUCGCACACAUUCUCAUGAAGAUGUCGUUGAAGAUCUUGCCAACACCGUUGGAGCUUCACGUGAUGCGGUGCGCAAUGAAGAGAGGGAGGAAGAUUCAUCUUCGGAGGCGGAAGAAUCGUCUUCCGAAGAUGAGGACGAGGACGAAGACGAGGACGAGGAAUGA
rnacentral:rRNA from 1 species